rnacentral:rRNA from 1 species
AUUGAACGCUGGCGGCAGGCUUAACACAUGCAAGUCGAACGAUGAAGAUAUAGCUUGCUAUAUCGGAUUAGUGGCGGACGGGUGAGUAACACUUAGGAAUCUACCUUUUAGCGGGGGAUAGCUCGGGGAAACUCGAAUUAAUACCGCAUAAUUUCUACGGAAUAAAGAGGGCUUUUAGCUCUCACUAGAAGAUGAGCCUAAGUAAGAUUAGCUAGUUGGUGGGGUAAAAGCCUACCAAGGCGACGAUCUUUAGCUGGUCUGAGAGGAUGAUCAGCCACACUGGGACUGAGACACGGCCCAGACUCCUACGGGAGGCAGCAGUGGGGAAUAUUGGACAAUGGGGGCAACCCUGAUCCAGCCAUGCCGCGUGUGUGAAGAAGGCCUUUUGGUUGUAAGGCACUUUAAGCAGUGAAGAAGACCUAUUGGUUAACACCCAAUAGCGAUGACAUUAACUGCAGAAUAAGCACCGGCUAACUCUGUGCCAGCAGCCGCGGUAAUACAGAGGGUGCAAGCGUUAAUCGGAAUUACUGGGCGUAAAGCGAGCGUAGGUGGUUAAAUAAGUCAGAUGUGAAAGCCCUGGGCUCAACCUAGGAACGGCAUCUGAAACUAUUUAACUAGAGUAGGUGAGAGGGAAGUAGAAUUUCAGGUGUAGCGGUGAAAUGCGUAGAGAUCUGAAGGAAUACCGAUGGCGAAAGCAGCUUCCUGGCAUCAUACUGACACUGAGCUCGAAAGCGUGGGUAGCAAACAGG